rnacentral:misc_RNA from 1 species
AACUUUCAUUGCUGCCUUGUACUGUCACUGUAGACGGGCACGGUAGGUGGAACUAAAACUAUUAGCACCCUAUGAAAUACGUGAACUUGUACGACCACUACUGUGGCCGCUGCGCCUUGCCGUGAAGAGCGCCACCAGAAGUGGACACAACUCUCCGAACACUUGCAGAGCUUCUGCUUGGAUUUUCUCCCCCUCCCCCACAGCACACACACACACACACACACAUCCACACACACUGUUGCUAACGGAUCGUGCUUAUUUCCAAUGUCUGCGGUGAGCGCCCGUCCGAGCCCAUACCGGGAUUGUCUUGGCAGUGUUGUUGUGGAUGAGAACAGCAAUGCGGAGGGACAGCUGUGCAGCAUGGUCGACGCGAUCAUUGCAACGUCUACCCACGCGCUCCAGAAGGCCUCUAGCGACGUGAACAGCACCGACGCCGCGUUUUUGAAGGCGGCGUCGCUUUUCCAGGCCAAUGGAAUCCGCAUUUCUCAUGGCGAGCUCGGUGAGAAUACUUCCAGCGCUGCAAGCCCUGCCGCUGUCGAGUCCGACCUGCGCACCCAGCUGGAGAACUGCCGCAACCUCCUCCGCACGGUCGACUGUGAGCGCCGCCGUUUGCGCAGUCAGUGCAUCUACCUCCAGAAAGAGCAUGAGCUUCGACGUGCAGAGAUCCAGUCGAUGCACCGCUACUCUACCGAAUCGCAUCAGCGCUCGCUGACGCUAGAGCGCCAGAUUGCAGAGGAGCGCCAACACCGUAGGCGGCUGCAGAACGAGGUGGAUGCUCAAACGCAGGAGGUCAUGCGCCUUCGCCGUGUUCUCCGAGCCCUGCCAGACAACGUCUUGAGGUCCCUGAGUCCGCGUCAUCCUGCCGACGGCGCUGCGGCGGACCUUGUGCUGACGCUGGCACCGGACCGGCGCUUUGAGGAGGCCUUUCGGGACAAAAUGAACAGCAUCGCGUACAAGCGACGCUAUCACCAAGCAAGCGCAAUGCAUCAGGCUGCCCGCGAGCAGGUGGAGAUGAUGAUGAUGGAGCAGCAAGAUCCCUUGCAGAUUGCGGCGAGGUGGCCCUGCGUCGUUGAGGGCGUGUCCACCGUGGGCGCAACGUCGACGGAGCCAGUCGUGAAGAGGGAAUGGCAGGGCUGCGGCAGUGGCGCCUCCAGCCUGUUCAAAUUUCCGCCUCAAGGGAUUGAUGAAUUGUGGCAGGCCGACGCGAUAAAUGCCACUGAAGCUGCGACGCUUGCGAACAGCGCACUCAUGCACUCAGCGCUGGAAUUUCCUUUCCAGCUACCCUUCACGACGGCCACCCCGAAAGACGCGUACAUUAAAUUUCUCAUGUAUCACUCCGCGUACGCGGAGCCGCUUACCCAGCUGCGCGAGCAUGUGCUGAGGCUGAGCUCGCGCCUCAAGACAGCGCAGGACGCCGGGCUGCGCGCGCUAUACACCACGUUUACUCAGGUGCUGCAUCUCCUCGGAUCCGCCCCUGCACGGGCACCGUGGCGCUCUCUCUACGAGCGCGAGAUCGAGAAAAUGCAACGCGCGCACCGCGACCUGCUGUACGCUGUGAUCGAACAGGCGAACAUGGCAGCCACGCAGAUACCGGAGCUUGAGCGCGCUGGCGGUGCGGCUACGGCGCUGCGCGAGCUUGCCGGUGGCGCUCCGCAGCGCCGGGACGUGGGCUGCAGCGCGCACGAACUGACCACGAUGGAAAAGUACAGGGCUUCCCAGCUUAAGGAGCAGCUGGAUCACCUCAAACUGCACUCGCUCGAGGCGGAGGCCGCGGCACAGAAGGAAAAAGAGGAGAUCGCCAAGCAGCGCUCCACUGCGCGUCAAGGCACCUUGCAGGCUCUGCAGUCCCUCAAGGCGCUCGCCAAGUGCGUUGUGGGGUCGGUGCGGGCUCACGGUGCCGCCGACGGUGCCGUGUAUGACCCCUUCGCUCAACUGUUCGAUCCCCUCACCGAGGAGGUGCUGGACGACCCGCGCCUCGCUACCAAGACGGCAGAGGCAACGGACUUGACCCUAUCGUACGUGCGCAUGCUCGGCCGCAGCGGUGGCGGUGGCGGGCGAGGUAAAAGCGCACAGCGCCACCACGCGGACCUCGGGGCCGCACCUCUUUCGUCUUCGCCAACGUCGGGAACGGACGGCGUGCGAGAAGGCGCGCUCGCGAGCGUCAUUGGCAUUAGCCGCACCGCCUGUGGUGCCACCGCACCGUCGUGUUCUUCAAAGGCUCAUUCUUCUCGGAGGCAAUCGGCACCGCCAGCGGUGCCAGCGCUGCGCCACCGCACUCGCAGCAGCUCCUUGGGCUACUCAAGCCGUCGGCUCAGCUCGCCACAAUUGCCACCCAUGAAAAGCAUCCCAGCCUUGUCGAGGGGGGCGACAGGCUUUCGCAAGCGCCGGAGCAGCGGCGCGGCUUCAUCAACACACUCUCCUCGAGAAGGCGAUCUUUCCUCGACAAAAGCGUUGGCCGCGCCCUCUCUUCAGAACACGGUGAACUCACCGAAUGCCUGCGCCAAGGAGAGCGGCCCUAAGCCUCAGGCGACUGUCGCCGUCAUCGAGCUCGGCUUCCGUGAAGGCGAUGCUCAGCGGUAGCGAUGGAAGGGGCAUAAGACAUGCUGCCGCGCGAAGCUGCACUUAUGGGGAUGUGCGUAUCCGAGACAUCUAGAAUAAUCCUCUCUCCAUGCUUUCUCCUGACGGCACUAGAUCAUCUUUUUUUUUGUCUUUCUGACGUCACGUUUGCAACUCUUCACACCUGUUCCCUUUUUUUUCCGCCGAUGCUCUUGAGCAUUGCAUUGGACGGAAAGGGAUGUGCGUGACUGUCUGUGUGUGCGCGAGUGUCUACAUAGGGGCCCUCUUUUUCUCUUUUUCUGUCCCACUUGCCCUCUCUCUUGCCCCCCUUCUCCUCCUCCCAGGGGGCUCUCUCCGACACACACACACACACACACACACGCAGAGACAUGCUACAGGCGUACAGGUUUACCCUGCGUUGUUUUUCUCUUUGUGUCUCCACUCUUUUGCUGUUUUUCGUGGUCGCCGCCCACUUACUCUCCCUCUGUGGUGCUUUUCUUUUUCUUUCGCUCUUGCGUUGCCUGCCUGCUCUUCACGUCCUCUCUGCCAAGCCACGUAUGCGCCCCUCCUCACGCAUUCUCUCUCGUCUUCUACGCGCACAUUCGACGAGGACACAGAAGGGGCGGAUUCAGGUGACUGCCUCGACGCUUGCGGGCCUAUGCACAGCUGUAUGUGUGUGUGUGUGUGUUUGGCUCUUCGAGUCUCUCCGCGUCCUGCGCUCUCUCUCUGCUCGGUCUUUUUCCUUUUAUAGCCUUCUCUCUCUCCCAUUCACUUUUGUACUGUCUUCUUUACAUCCUGACGCGCUCCGUCGGGCAUCGCCUUUGAGCUGUGCGGGCUUUGAUUUCUCUUCUUCCUUUUGCUUGCUGGUACGCUAUCUGACUUCGUUUGACCCCUCUGCUGUUUCAUCUCUGCCUGUGCCUGUGGGGCUCCACAUGUCACUUCGUUAGUGCGCGAUGCGCACAUGCCCGCAACGGGAACAAAGGAGAUGCACACGCGGAGUGCACCGCCGGAGAGCGACAGGGGCAAAAACAAAAAAAAGUGGCGUUGGACAGCUGAGGAGGAGGAUGAUUCAUUUUCAAAGGUAGUGAUGGGAGAGCUGCACUGAGGGUGCAAGGAGUCUUCUCUGCUUACUUUCCUUCACACCCGCUAUUUUACUUUGACUAG